GUGUUGUAUGCAAAGAGAGAAUGUUAGUUCCCUCUUGGCAAGGACGGAGAGGCCAUGGGCCUACAAUGCACAUGUGGUUAAAGUAUUGU
ensembl:snRNA Gm23664 predicted gene, 23664